GGUCACAGCCAUAUCAACCUGCAGCCCAAGACUGGUUACUCACUGAAGCUAAGCAGGGCUGAGCAUGAUUAGUACCUGGAUGGAGGACCACAUGGGAAAACUAGGUCUGUGUAAGUC
ensembl:rRNA 5S_rRNA 5S ribosomal RNA